ensembl:antisense
AGAGGCCUCAUGCUCACUUUUUCUUCUGAAUUAUUUGACACUGAAUAUAGGAUCUCAUGUAUGCUAGCAAGUACUCUGUAUGUAUCUAGACACUCAUGCACAUUCUUUUAAAUUUUAACAUGGAAUAUCACUCACUUGCCUCAGCUGGAUUUGAGUUUGGGGUCCUUCUGCCUCAUGCUCCUCCUGAAUAUAUGACAUUACAGGCCUGAGCUGCCAGGUCCACCCCAACUUUGUCUUAAUAAAUUCCAACUUUGAUUCAUUCGGAAGUUCUCUGUGUGCCUUAAGAGCCAGGGUAAUCCUGAAUGAGUUCUCAGGAGAGCAUCUCCAGGCUGCCAAUGAAGACUGACCACGUUCCUGAGAAUUGACUUUCUGCAAAGCCUCCCAGAGGGCCCAAAUUUAGAACACACGAAGUAAGAAAAGAUGCCUUCUCUGUUGUGCCUGCAAACAUAAGGAACACUAUACACAUUUCUGGAAAGAACAGGAAACAGUUUUCUGUCAGAGUGAAAGCUUCAGGUGCAGAGACUGGAGCACGUGGAAGUUUGCAAGAGCAGAGGCCUUCAUCCUAUGUCUGUGGAUUCAAGAGGUUAUGCAGAAUCUGGGUGUUUUCUGUCUAAGUUCCUCUUCCCAUCUUACCACCUGCACAGCAGAAGGAGAAAGGGAUGGGGCAGAGCAAAUAUAAGGCUUCAGAACAUUGGGAGUUCAGAGCACAUAUACUUUAGGACAUGUCUAUAGAGCAGGCUAUCACAAU